rfam:Deltaproteobacteria bacterium RBG_16_54_11 RBG_16_scaffold_261725, whole genome shotgun sequence.
AUACUAAGAGGGGAUGGAGUUCCCCUGACAAUCGCCCAGGCCGGGCUGAUGACUCCUACGACGCA